rnacentral:rRNA from 1 species
AUUGAACGCUGGCGGCAUGCCUUACACAUGCAAGUCGAACGGUAACGCGGGGCAACCUGGCGACGAGUGGCGAACGGGUGAGUAAUGCAUCGGAACGUGCCCAGUAGUGGGGGAUAGCCCGGCGAAAGCCGGAUUAAUACCGCAUACGACCUACGGGUGAAAGGGGGGGAUCGCAAGACCUCUCGCGAUUGGAGCGGCCGAUGGCAGAUUAGGUAGUUGGUGGGGUAAAGGCCUACCAAGCCGACGAUCGGUAGCUGGUCUGAGAGGACGACCAGCCACACUGGGACUGAGACACGGCCCAGACUCCUACGGGAGGCAGCAGUGGGGAAUUUUGGACAAUGGGCGAAAGCCUGAUCCAGCCAUGCCGCGUGCGGGAAGAAGGCCUUCGGGUUGUAAACCGCUUUUGUCAGGGAAGAAAUCUUCUGGGUUAAUACCUCGGGAGGAUGACGGUACCUGAAGAAUAAGCACCGGCUAACUACGUGCCAGCAGCCGCCGUAAGAC